CACGUAGGGCGCAAGCGUUGUCCGGAAUUAUUGGGCGUAAAGAGCUCGUAGGUGGUUUGUUACGUCUGCUGUGAAAACCUAGGGUUUAACCCUGGGCUUGCAGUGGAUACGGGCAGACUAGAGGUAGGUAGGGGAGAAUGGAAUUCCUGGUGUAGCGGUGAAAUGCGCAGAUAUCAGGAGGAACACCGGUGGCGAAGGCGGUUCUCUGGGCCUUACCUGACACUGAGGAGCGAAAGCGUGGGGAGCGAACAGG
rnacentral:rRNA from 1 species